UAAAAAUAGUGGCAAAAAGAAAGAUAUGGAUUUCAUGGUGGGUUAUAGUUAUUACAGUGGAAGUUUUAGCGGGGAGAGUGAAGCGGGUAGUGCGGGUGUGGUGGUGAUUACUAGGCCAAAAGGAGGCAAUAGGUCGCUGUGUAUGGACCUGGAGGAAGUGAAGGCGUGUAGGGACCUGGGUUUUGAGUUAGAACAUGAGCUUAUGUUGGAGAUGCCCAGUGCCAGUCGUGUUUCACUCUCAGGUUCCACUCUUGAUACUACCAGUAGCGGUGGCAAUUCUCCCAUAGCCAACUGGCGUAUCUCUAGCCCUGGUUAGUCAAAAC
rnacentral:lncRNA from 1 species